UACGGAGGGUGCAAGCGUUAAUCGGAAUUACUGGGCGUAAAGCGUGCGCAGGCGGUUCGGAAAGAAAGAUGUGAAAUCCCAGGGCUCAACCUUGGAACUGCAUUUUUAACUACCGGACUAGAGUAUGUCAGAGGGAGGUGGAAUUCCACGUGUAGCAGUGAAAUGCGUAGAUAUGUGGAGGAACACCGAUGGCGAAGGCAGCCUCCUGGGAUAAUACUGACGCUCAUGCACGAAAGCGUGGGGAGCAAACAGG
rnacentral:rRNA from 1 species